UCUAAUAAAAAUGUUAAUAUUUCAUUAGAAAAUGAAAAAGUUAGGAAUUACAAGAAUGUAAAACCUAUACUUUGGUCUCAUAGCAAAAAAGAAUAAAAAACAUGGAAGCAAAUAUCAAUCGGUCCAUCGACAUCAACAAAAACAGUUAAGCUUUUGAAAACAAUGAAUCGAUACAACAAUUUUAAUGAAUCGCAUAUAAGACACCUCAAAGAGGAAGAUAAUGCUGUCAAACGGCAAAGGUCGAAACAAUGAAAACCCAAGUGGAUGGAAGCCUUUCACCGGUAGGCCGAGAACACUGAGCCGUCAACGGCGAAACACACAUAGCACACGAAAAUCUCAAAUAUAACCA
rnacentral:sRNA from 1 species